GCUGAUGAAAAUUCUGACCAACUGCCAGCCUUACUUCAUCCGCUGCAUCAAACCUAAUGAAUAUAAGAAGCCGCUGCUGUUCGACCGGGAGCUGGGUCUGCGGCAGCUGCGGUACUCGGGCAUGAUGGAGACCGUGCACAUCCGCAAGUCCGGCUUCCCCAUCCGCUACGCGUUCGAGGAGUUCUCGCAGAGGUUCGGCGUGCUGCUGCCCAGUGCCGUGCGGAUGCAGCUGCGAGGCAAGUUCUGCCAGAUGACCCUGGGCAUCGCUGACAUGUGGCUGCGGACAGACAAAGACUGGAAAGUGGGGAAGACC